rnacentral:rRNA from 1 species
CUCCCAAAACCCACUGUGACAUAUACCUUUGUUUUCGUUGCCUCGGCGGGGUCGUGCUCCCUGGAAACAGGGGUUCGCGCCGCCGGGUGACACCUAAACCCUGAUUUAAUUACAGAAGUCUUUCUGAGUAAAACAUUCUAAAUGAAUCAAAACUUUCAACAACGGAUCUCUUGGUUCUGGCAUCGAUGAAGAACGCAGCGAAAUGCGAUAAGUAAUGUGAAUUGCAGAAUUCAGUGAAUCAUCGAAUCUUUGAACGCACAUUGCGCCCGCCAGUAUUCUGGCGGGCAUGCCUGUUCGAGCGUCAUUUCAACCCUCAAGACCCCUUCGGGGGACUUGGUGUUGGGGACCGGCUGUUCCCGGCCUGCUUCUUGCAGCGCCUUUAUGCCGCCCCCGAAAUGAAUUGGCGGCCUCGUCGCGGCCUCCCCUGCGUAGUAGCACAACCUCGCAACGGGAACGUGACGGCGGCCCUGCCGUAAACAACCCAAUUUUAUUAAAGUUGACCUCGAAUCAGGGAGGAUACCCGCUGAACUUAAGCAUAUCA